CCUACGGGAGGCAGCAGUGGGGAAUAUUGCACAAUGGGGGGAACCCUGAUGCAGCAACGCCGCGUGGGUGAAGAAGUACUCCGGUAUGUAAAGCCCUGUCAGCAGGGAAGAAAAUGACGGUACCUGACCAAUAAGCCCCGGCCAAAUACUUGCCAGCAGCCGCGGGAAUACGUAGGGGGCAAGCGGUCACCGGAUUUUAUGGGGGGAAAGGGAGCGUAGACGGCAAGGCAAGUCUGGAGGGAAAGCCCGUGGCCCAAACACGGGACCGCUUUGGAAACUGGGUUGCUGGAGUGCAGGAGGGGUAAGCGGAAUUCCUAGUGUAGCGGUGAAAUGCGUAGAUAUUAGGAGGAACACCGGUGGCGAAGGCGGCUUACUGGACUUUAACUGACGCUGAGGCUCGAAGGCGUGGGGAGCAAACAGGAUUAGAUACCCCAGUAGUC
rnacentral:rRNA from 1 species